AAGUCACAACCUUGUAGUCUCUUACAUGCUUGAGGGAUACGUUUAAGCUUUACCAUAAUUUGAUAGGGAAAUUGCCACUAAUACCACUUUCAUAAUACCACUUUUCAACUUUACACUUUUCAACUUUACCACUAAAAUUUUAAUGACUAAAGUACCAUUAUACCCUUAUUUAAUCAAACAUAAACAUAUGCCUUCUUCAAAGUCAAAUUUUCCAAAUCUCAGAUUCUUCACGUUGACCAAUUCCGGCGAGAUCUGACGAUGCUGACGAGUUUCCGGCAAGAUCUGACGACGUUGACGAGUUUCCGGCGAGAUUUGACAGAAUCUACAAGCUCAGACGAACGAGACGAUAUCUCUCAGAAUCUGGUGAAGAUCCGACGGCUCCGAGAGCUCGUAAUGUGUCGAGCAGCUUAAGCCUUUGGUGAUCAAACGCCUCCUCUUACGAGUCCGCCGCCGUAUAUUGACAUCUUCGAUUCGCCUCAGCUCAUGUCUUCGCCUGCUCAGAGCUAAUGUAUCUUCAGUGGCUGGAUCCCAAGGAGCCUGUAUACAUUUACAUCAACUCCACAGGGACUACUCGUGACUAUGGCGAGACUCAAUGAUCCAGCAGCCUCGUGUGCCUUCUUCUGGGUUGAUGGCUGCCAGUGAUGUCCUGAUUCGUGCCAAAAACGUUUGUUACUCCCUCUGUACACAUUGUAUUCUGGAAAUCUAAUUUCAACUGAGAUAUGUUCAUGAUGUGCUUAUAAGUUCAUACCUAUGCUUCUCACUUGAGCAUUUGGCUAGGAAUUUCAAACUUGAGGUGAAGAAAAAUUUAAUUUCAGUACAUAUCUCACGUUCCUGGUUGCAAUUACAGGUUAUAACAAACAGGGAUAUACUUGUGGGACUACUAUCAAAGCACACUGGGAACCUUUAUAAGCUCUUAUAAAAUUUAUUAAUGGUUCAUAAAUGGUUUUAUAAACCUUUAGAAAUAGUUAUAUAAAUAUUUAUAUGGUUUUAUAAACCUUUAUAAUUUUUAUAAACCCUAUAUAAACUCUUCAAAACCUAUUAAAACCUUUUAUAAACCCUUACAAAUCUUAUAUAAACCCGUUAUAAACCCUUAUAAUUUCUAUAUAAAUCUUUACAAACACCUGUAAGUGAUUUUGUAAACCCUUUUAUAAAUUCUUAUAAAUCAUUAUAAACAUUUUAAACAUUUUGUGAUGACUUGAAAACAAAACUUAUGGGAGCUACAAAGCAGUUUCAAGAUGUUCUUACUGUGAGAUCAGGUUAUUUGAAUUGCUUGUCAAUGGUCUUCCAGCUCGAGCUGAGAUCACAUAUGCUGCAAAUGGCAGAAGUUCAAAAAUAUUUCACCAAAAGUUAUAAGCAUUAUCCUGCUAAACCUGGAAGACCAUUGACAAGAGCUUUCAAAAUCUGUGAAAUCAAAUGAGCAACCAGCUGGCCCUGUUUCUUCUUCUUCUUCUUCUACAACAGCAACAACCACCAAUUAUGAAAGCUCUUUGUCCACUCCUAUGAUCAGUGAAAAGCUUAAGAUGUAUUCUCACCUCAAGCAGUUUACUUUCCUUGAUCUCAAUUUGGUUACUAGAAAUUUCAGACCCGAAAGUCUUCUCGGAGAAGGUGGCUUUGGUUGUGUCUUUAAAGGAUGGGUGGGGGAGAACGGAACUGCUCCUGUUAAGCCUAGCACUGGCGUUACUGUUGCUGUCAAAACCUUGAAUCUUGAUGGCCUUCAGGUCAUAAAGAGUGGCUUGUAUGAUCCUUUAUAAACACUUCUAAAUUGAUUUAUAAACACUUCUAAAUUGAUUUAUACUCUUAUAAAUUGUGUUAUGAAUAUUAUUAAAUUCUUAUAAUCCUUGGAAUAAACCCUGAUAAAUAGAUUUAUAACCUUUUAUAAAUAGAUUUAUAAACCUUGUAAAUUAAUUUAUAAACAGUUACAAAUAAAUGUAUAAACUCUUAUAAAUAGCUUAUAAGUUCUUGUAAAUAGUUUUAUAAACCUUUUAAAUAGUUUUAUAAACCUUUAUAAAUAGAUAUAUAAAUAUUUAUAUGUGUUUUAUAAAUUUUAUAGAUGGUUGAUACAAAGUUUUAUAAGCUCUUAUAAAAUUUAUAAAUGGUUCAUAAAUGGUAACCUUUAUAAAUAGUUAUAUAAAUACUUAUAUGUGUUUUAUAAACUUUAUAGAUGGUCGAUUAUGAUCCAGCUACUUUUGAUCUGACGGAGCACGGUAGUCCACCGACAAAGAUGAUGUAGUCCACCCAUGGAGGCAGUUUAAAACUCGUCGACGAGAUCUCGUCUCUCACCAUGAAUAGAAAUAGAUUAGAGGAUAUAAUUGUCUUUUGUUUCCUUACAGUUUAGGUGCUUUUAAAAAUGGACAUCUUAAUAGUGUAAACAUGAACAAGUGUACUUCAGAUGUGCUAGUUUGCAAUUUUCCCUCUUAUAAAUGAAUUAUACUUUAAACGA